UUUAGAGUCGGUUGGGUGAGGGGAAGGAGAGAAAAGAAGGUGGAAAAGUGCCUCUCUAGCCUUCUCUCUGGGGCCUUGCUCAGCUUGAGCUGGGGAAGUCACUUGGAGGCCUGUGGAAUAUAAGGACACAGGACAAAAGGGUACUGAGGUGGGCCAUCAGCUGUACAUAAGCUUGAACCCAAGGAGGAAAGUACAUUAAGGCCUUUUGGAUCCCCUCCAGCACAUGCGAGGUGGGUUUUAAUGAGAAGAGAGACUGCCCCUUUGUCUCUGUGUAGACAGUCCCCUUGUCCUUCAUCUACCAAACAAACGGUUGACUCGAUUGAAUCCCAGAAGAUAAAAGAAGUUUGAGAAUCACUGGACUAGAGACAAUUAAUUAAAGAAUAUAGGAAGAAAGAGUUUAGAAAACAAUGAUGUCUUUCCUCAAGAUACCUGGAUUCAGCUGAAAUUAAAUUUACUUUGGGAAGAAUUCCAAUAUGGUAAAUUAGAAGCACUGCCAAACCACCGCCCAUAUCAGGUGAAAAGGAAGAAAUAGUCAUUUUAAGAGCCUGGAAUCAUGGAGGGAUUUUCUAAGGUGGUGGAAGGCUUGGAAGUAGAGGCUGGAUGGCCAUCUGUUGGGGAUGCUCUUGGUUUGAAAUGAUUUCCUACAUCGAGCAAGGCAAAAGAACAACUGGGAACUCCUUAAUGGUGGUAUGUAAUGGAAUCACUGUGGGUAGUGUGCACCUCUACAACACACCUGUGCAUUUUUCUUGGGUGUUACUUAGAGUCACAUUUCCACAACUCUAAGCCAAAACAGAGUGGGAGAAAACUUUUUUUAAAAAAGAUCUGGAACAGGGUGUUGCACUGGAUGGCCUACAAGAACCGGUUCUAUGAUUCUGUGGAUCUACAGAGGAAGUUAUUGCAUUACCCCUUUUGAAUAUCCUUUCUCUUAAACAGAUGUAUAGCACUGAGAAUUACAGAACUGAGAAGCAGCAUGCACUUUCAGUUGUAUCUUUGUGCUGUUCGUUACAUGCAUUGUCUUAUUCUCAUGUUUCAUUUGAUGGUAGUAUUACUGAUACUUAUCUGUUCCUAUGCUGUGUCAGAGAUAUGGUGAAUGUUGUAAUUUAGUAGUCAUUUUCAAAAGAUUCAGAGGAACAUAUCAGAAAAUACUGGCACUGACUAAUACAUCUCGCAGCCAACACAGUGCCUUCAGUAAAUGGCAAAAUUUCAUUCACCAUUUUCGUCAUUUGCCAGUUAAAUAUAUUUACCAUUAAACUGGUUUAAAAGUUGUUGUUGUUUUUUAAAAGGCCCAAUGACACACAAAAAGUUGACAUUUCCAGCUGGGUGAUCUUAAGAAUUACUAGUAAAUACCAACAACUGGUAUCAAGUUUCUGAUACGAGAUGCAAUGCUAAGUGCUCUAAAAAAUUAUAAAUUAAUACAGCACCCAGAUAUAAACGUAAGGAUCAACUGAUAAGCCAUUGCUCUAAAGAACUACUUAUGCCAUGAGACAGAUGUCACUCUCUGUGGAGUACUAACUGGCUCCUCAGUUGCCAGCCAGAGCUUAUAGUGAGGUUCAUUACUUUGUUCAUUAAAUUAGCUGGCACUCUACUUGUGUUGGAGGGUGAUGAGACCUGGCCCCCUAGCCUCUCCUCAAAGUGUUCCUUCAGUAAAUGUAGUUGUUGAGCAGGAUUUUAAGCACUGUGCAUUAAAAGAAUCUGUACUGUUCUGCAGUUUUCCCAAACACUGAUUAUUGAUGGUACAAAACACAGAAGGAGAAAGCUUGGGGAAUAUAUAACAAUCCCUGCUGCUCUGAGAUCAUGAUCUAAAUUAAUUUCACUUAUUACUUUUUAAUCAUUUCUAACCACAGGCACUAGAAUAGUUUUCAGGAAAGUAAUUUCAAUUGCUGAGUGCCCUGUUCAGCACACAAUAAUAAAUUUAUUUUUAUAGCCUAUGGCACGCUAGGUGCACAAGUA